UCAAAGAGAAAAUAUAACCCCAGUUACAAAAGUUAUUAAAGUAUAAUUAUUUUUCACAUUGAAGCCCUCAAUACAGUUAUUUUAUGGUCAGUGAAUCAGCCAAUGAGAAGAGAGUUUGGUGUUGCGUUCGGCUAAUGAUGUGUCUGAAUGUUGGUGCAAUGCAACUUCCUGGUUUCUCUCGCCCAUGUGAGAGAGCGUCGUGUAGUGUGCACGUGCGACAGAUAGAGAGCAGAUGUAAGUAGAGAACUCCGGAGAAAUCUGGGGUAUAAUUUACUUUAAUACUGAGCUUUUACUCAAUAUUGAGAGAAGUAGAGACUAAAACCUCUUCAGAGUAACGGUUGAACGAGUUGAAACGGAAUUUAUUAUUGGUUUUGUUUGCAUGAUCCUUCGUCUCCAUUGCUCCUGCGCUGUGAAUGCUGCGUGUGGGGGUUACAUUUUUCCUAUUUUUCUUGUGGAGGAAAUUCACCUUUUAAAGGAAAGACCGAAAUACAAUACAAUCCAUUUAUGUGGAAAGGACUAUAAAGAAUGAUUUACUGUUUUGUAAAAAAAAAAUGAUUAACUGCUUUGGUAAAGACUGGUUUACUGAUUUGAUAAAGCUUGUGUAAUGUGAUGUACAUUUUAAAUGUGCAUGUAAGAGUUUACAGUGAAUUUGUUUUUUGUUUUGGGUUAUAUGUUCAAUUUCAAGUCUAACAUUUUGAAAUACAACUGGAAAGGGAAUUAAUCAUUAUGUGAAUGUGAAUUGACUUAACAGUGCUUUAUUUUAUUUUUUCUUUAUUACUGUGAUUCAAGUUAUUUAGAGAAGGGAUUUUUUUUUUUAUACUGUUUCAACAAAACAAUUCUUUUGGUUUAUUUUUGUUUGUUGUUUUCUUAAUUUCCUUUUCAUGUCAUGUUACUUGGAUACAAUACUAAAAUCUGACAAUUCAAUACAUUUAUCUAUCUACAGUUGAA